rnacentral:misc_RNA from 1 species
GGAGGACAGCACCGCCGCCCGCACUGCGCCUGCUGCCACAUGCGCCCUGUGCUGUGAAGCUCUUGUUUCAGUGCCCUCCCUGCCGUGCCGCCGCAGCCGCGCCGCGACGACGGCUGUCACGCUACUGCGGAGGACGGUGCCGCCUGAUGCCGACGCGGGCGUCGAGGCCUACCGGCACCACGUAGCCCGCAGAGCUGACAUCGGCGGCGGCGGCGUCUUGCCGAGAUGCGGAGGCGUGUGCGACGACAGGCGAUGCUGACGCGCUUCUCCUGCCCGCACCGCGUCUGGACCGGCCAGCGGUGGGCUGGGCGCCCCUGCCGUGGCGGCGCGCGAUGGGCGCCGGCGUCGUGCGGCUGCCACACCCUCGCCACGGCCGGGCGCUCCUGUGCUUCGUGGUGCGCGAUCGGGUUGUCUGCGCCGUGGCGAGGCCGCGCACGCCGACGCUGCCUUGCCCGGCGCAUGCCUCGUCCUCGCUGCUGUAGGAGGUGCGGGCGCACGCGCCGCCAAGCGGCUUUGCGCGGAGCUGGCUUGUGAAGGGGCGCGCUGUCCCGAGCACGUCGGCGCUGGCGAGCUGCUGGCCGCGAGGCCGCUGGACCUGACCUCUGCGCUCCAUGAGCUGCUCGGCGAUGCACAGCGCUGCGACCGCGUGGCGCGCACCUUCAUGCCAGCGGCAGGCCUGCACCGGGCCGGGGGCAUGGCCUUCUCAGCUCGCGCCACCGCCACCGCUGCUGGCUGCGAGGCCGCGGCGCCGGUGGCGAGGACUGGCGGUCGCCGAGGUCCGCGUGUGCGCGGCUGACGGCCGAGCUUUCCGCCUGGAGUGGAGCGGAUGGCACGCACGUGGGGUGCGGGGGCCCGCACGGCUGGACGGCUGACCCGCGGUCGCGGCCGGCGGCGUCGUCCAUGUGCUCUGCCACGCCUCACGGGUGGGCUGGCUGGGCACGUGCAGCAGCAGCGCGCCCGCUCCUCCUGCGCGGCUGCGUGGGCGUGCCUGAGUCCGACGGCGUGCUGCGGCGGCUGUGCGAGGCCCGUGAAGUCGGCGGCAGCGUCUCUGCGCAGACGGCGUCCUGUGAUGCGCCCGCCGACAGCCGCCACGCUGUGCACCACAGGCCAUCCGAGUCGGUGGCGGUGGGGUGGCUGACGAGACAAGUAGAGCGCGUGCGCGCCUCUGCGGUGCUGCUGCGACGGCGACGGCGGCUGCGCCCGCCGAGGCGUGCGUGGGGGCCGCCAUGGCUGUUGCGCUUGGGGUGGUGGCCGAGUACGUGCCGGUCCGGCUGCACGCGGCUCUUGCGGUGGCCUGCGGUCUCGCCGACCCCGCGGCGGCGCCAGCCUGCUCGCCGACAGCGGCGGCGUGACGCGACUGGAGAAGGCUGGGCAGCGGAAGGGCACGCCCCCCUUGCUGGCCGUGCUCGGCGAGAGGAAGCCGAGGACGGAGGGUGGCGCGCCGUGGGCGUGGCGUGGGCGCACGACGGUCCUCGCCAUCGCGGCGCGACGCACGGCGUGUGCCGUGCAGGGUGGGCGAGCAAGGGUGUGCGAGGGAGGGGACGCCGUCGCCUCUGCUGCGUGCUGUGCGGGAGGGCGGCCGCGUGCGUGGGGACAGGUGCAACUGUCCGUCCCGCCCCCGAUGCGGGUGGAGCGCGCUGGAGCCCGUCUUUAUGCGCAUGCGCGCUGCUGCUGUGGCCAGCCUCCCUUCUGCGCCGCCGCGUCGCAGGCCGCACCGCUGCGUUGAGACACGGCGCGCGCCGGUGGGUGGGGUGAGGCCGGGAAUGACUUCUGCUUGGCUUGCUUGCGUGCGAGCAUGCUGGUGGGCUGCUGCCUGGGCGGACUCGGCACGGUGCACCCCAUCCCUCCUCCCUGCGGUCGCCUCGUGCGCGGCGAGGGUGUGCUCUCGCCUUGGCGGUGGCGGCGUGCGUGCGAGCGUUCUCUCCUGCUGGCGCACGUCGGCCGUGCAUCCGCGUGCCGGCGCUGUCUCUGUGGUGUAGGGGAGCGGCCCCUCGUGCCCCCUCUCCCCUCAUCCCUGCGCAUGCGGGGCGGCUUGUGGUGGUGGCAGGGGUAGGCCCCUGCGGCGUAGGGGGAGGCGAGGGCGAUGCGUCGCGGCCUGUGUCGGCGGUGAGGUUGUGGAUGGCGUGGCGCCGGAGCGACGUGCGGCAGUGGACGCGCUUGUGCUGUCCGCAUGGCGGACGAGGGGUCAACGGGGCUCGGGCGUCUCCCACCCGGCCGUUGCUGCCUGCUGGUGGGGAGCCUGAGCCACGCGAAGGUGGACGCACGGGGUGGCUGCCGGCACGGUGCGCGCUGCUGUGGGGCGACCUGCGUGGGGGAUGGGUGGGCAGAGGCUGUGCAGGGGACCGUGCUCAUGCUGCUGGGCCGCGCGCGGGGGCGGCGCGGGGUGUAGCGUGGCGUCGGCCUGCUGCUGUAGGGCGGGAGAUGGACGCGUCGAAGGGGAGCUGCUUGCGCUGUGGCAGACAUCGUCACCCCGGGUGCCGCCUGGCACUCGCCGCUGUCCCCACCUGCCACGUGCGGCCACCCACGCAUGCGGGCGGCGAGCGACAUCGGCACUCAUGAGGGUUUUGUGUCCUGUGCUUCCACACCCCCACCGCGCUUGGACAGCGCGCCCAUGCAGCGGUGGGGGCCUCAUGGGCAGAGGGGGGGUGCCCGCGCCACUGCCUGCUCUCUUGUCCCCGCGUAUCCUCCCUCGGUGAUGGGGGCGAGCAAGCGAGUGCCCCUCGCCGGCCUCUCCCGCCCCACCGAGCAGCGAGAGACACACGUGAGCCACAACGGCGGCCUCGCCUGUGCUGCCUGCGCGUGGCGAGCGGGCGCGUGCAGCCGCAUCCUUCCCCCGCGUGUGCGCACACACCCGUCCGUGGGCGGUGCCAGCGUCUUGCGCGGCGUUGCUCGGCGGUCGCUUUUCCUUUGCUCUCGUCGACUCUGGCGCAGGGUGGUGAGGGCUGCCACCCGGACACGCCCAGGCUGGCGUGGCUGAAGGCAUCGCCGCUGUAGCCGCAACGGGUACGAGUGCGCGCGAGCAGGCGCAGCAGCAGUGGCGGCUGUAGUGCGGGGGUGGUGUUUCCGCCUCCCCCUCUCGGCGUCACUGGCGCCCCUACCAUGUGUAGCGCGUGGUCGUGCUGCCCGUGCUGCUGUCUUGAACCGUGCUUGAUGCUUGCUCCCACUGCGACGCACUUGGCCACUGCCCUGCCGCUCAUCGUUAUUGGUUUCAUGGAGGUGCUCGUGCCGCGUCGCACAGCACUGCGCACACGCACACACGCAAGGCUGCCGAGCACAGGGCCGCGCCGCGCCGGUCGCCGCUUGUCUGCGCUCUUCGCGGGGGGUCGAGCGCGCACGUGCGUUUGUGCGUGCGGGGGUGGCUGAUGCGUUUGCUUCGCUCUCCCGCCUCGUGCAGCCCCCUGCCUGGUGAUGCUGCGCUGUGCCCCUAGCAAGCUGUUCCGCGCCACGCCGCUGCUGCGUGUGUGGGCCGCGGAGGAGGACGACGCGAGCGCCCCGCGGACGACCUUCCGGAACGUGAGCCCCGGCCGGCUGCUGCGGCUGUGGCGCCAGAUGCGGCACCGCGCAUGGAUCCUGUACGCGUGGGAUGAGGAGUGGGUGUCGCCGAUGCAGGAGGGCUACCUGCACCAGCAGCGUCUCGAGCAGGUGUGCUUCGCGCCGCUGUCCGCGUACGGCAUGGUGCCUGGCAGCUACUGCGAUCCCCUGCUGUACAACACCAAGAGCACGUCGCCAUUCCGGUGGCACGUGGCGAACGUGCAGGGCGACAUUGUCGGACACUGGUACAUGGACGCCGACGAGCUGUUCCGCAUCAAGGACUGGCAGCCAAGGAACCCGGACGACCCGCUGGAGAUGUUCCCGCGACCGCCGCAGAUGCUGCUGCGGUGGGACGAGUCGGUGGACGAGCACGGCAACCGCGCGUUCCGGUACAGGUACGACUACGAUAUGAUGGGCCCCACGGGCAAGUGGGAGGCGUACCCGCGGUACCCCUUCUCUCACCUUUACCAUGGCGGGCCAGACCAGCACGGACGCGCUGAGGGGUACGGCUUCCAGCAGGGCCACCUCCUGCGCUGCGACGAGGCGGAGGAGGAGGUGCUGCGCCGCAUCAUGGAGGGGGAGGACAGGGAGUGGGAGAUGGUGAAGCGGACGGAGGCGGUGCAGGAGCCGUGGUCGUACCCCGGCAAGAUCCGCCCGAGGGACUUUGAGGGGGCGGUGGAGCGUGCCAAGGCGCGGUUCCGCGAGCGGGUCCGACACGGCAAGGAGACGGACCCGAGCGAGGACCCCGAGUACGACCUUGCUCAGGCCAGCGAGUACGUGGAGCCGCGCGAUGGGCGGCGGGCGGAAUGGCGGCAUUUGUGGGCGUCGGGCCGCAAGCCCGGCGAGUCGCUGCCCUUCCAAGUAACGUUCAACGACGGACUGUGCUUCGAGGAGAACGAGGGCGGCCCGCCAGCGCACCCGGCGGCGCACUACGAGGCGACGCCGAAGGGGGCGCCGCACGGGAGGUACGAGGACGCCGACGCCGCUGCAGCCCGCGCAGCCGAAGCGGCGCACAAGGCUGCGUGUGAGCAGUCGUUGAGCGAGGCGAUGGAGCGGCAUCGCAGGCUGUUUGGCGACACGAGCGGCGAGCCGAGCGGGCCGAGGGCGCCUCUGCCGACGGGUUGCCGGCCGAUGAGGUGCGCGCCGGGCCCGCCGCUGCCAUCUGGCCGCAGCCGGAGCUCGGCGCCAGAGCAGUGAGCAGCGGGCCCGUGUGUGGCGCAGGGGCGCGUGAUGGGAGAGCGAGGGGGAGGGGCGCGGUGGUGAAGCGCCUCCCGGUUACGGUGUGCGCGCGUGCUCACGGCGGCGGCGGGAGGGGCGGGUGUGACGACGGCGCGACACGCUCGACACGGGUGCCGCCUCGUCUCUCUCUCCUUCGGGAGUUUGACUGCCGCCCGCCACGCGCCUGGUGCUCGCUGCCCGCCGGCACCGUGUGCGCGGCUCAUCCGCACCCCUGCGGUGCCUUGCAAGGCCGGCAUUUGGUGCCGCAUUGGACGGGCGGGUGCGGCUACGAUGGCGGCGGUAGGGCUGCCUGCGCCGCACCGCUUGCGCGUGUGCGCCAACGGACCGUCCACACCCUUUCCCCACUCGUCUCCGCUCGGCGCUUCCCGGGUCUCCUGCUUGGCAUGCGCUGCCGCGCUCGUAGCGGCUCGGGCAAUGGGAGGCGGAGGCGGCGGCCGCUGCGGAACGAGAGAGGCGGCGAUGGGGGCACGCUGGGUGAAGGGGCGCGGGGCGGUGGACGAUCGUGCCCCGUCACCCUCCCCCUGCCCUGCGAUCUGCUCCCGCUGAUGCGCGACUGCCGACGGUGCCGAUGCUCUGCCUUCCGUCUCCUCUACGCGCCCUUGCGUGUCUCUCGGCAGGCCUCGGGGCAUCACGCACGCACCCGCACAUACACGUGCGUGCGUCUGUGCGCGUGCGCGUGUGCCUCUCUUGCUGGCCGCCUCUGUCGCGGCCGGCGCGUGCUGCUGCUGGCCGGGCAACGGGCGCAUGCAGUCACACAGGCCCGCAUCUCCGUCCGCGUCCGGUGCACUGCUUGCGUGCCUCACCGCCCGUGGCAUCCGCCUCUGCCUGCUGGUAUGCUGCGCGCCCCCUCGCUCUCCUCCUCCCUGCCCUGCGCCGCCCGCCCCGCAAGAGCCAUGCACGCGCGUCGGCUCCCCUGACCGCCUGUGCUCACGAGCAGCCGCGGAGGGUGGGGGAGGCGAACGGAUGCCGGUGCGGCUGUGCGUGCCGAUGGAGGGCAUCCGGAUGCCGCGCUGCCGCCCGUGCCGCCGUCGCGGUGGCGUUGCGGGUGUCUCUUGUCUGGUUUGCUUUGCCGCUGCGUGCUGAGCGGAGGCGUGCGCGGCGGGCGGGGCGUUCCUGAGCGCGCCGCGGACUCCGCACACCGGGUGCGGUGAGCUGGAGGACUCGGUGGCCGGCGCUUGGAGCGAUGUGGUGGGGAGGGGCUGAGGGCGUCGAGCCGCUGAGUGGCGCCGUGCGCGCGUGACGGAACGCACAUCGCAGGGUGGGCUGUGCCGGCCGCCUGGCCAACUGCUCGCGCGGGUGUGCGCCGGCGCCCUGGAUGAGCGGUGGCAGUAUGUGCCCUGCGGCCGUGAUGGGGGCCGCGGACGGCGCGACCGCGAGCGUGUGCACAGCGCGUGGCUGCGGCACCAGCGCGUGCCGUGUGCCCUGGGCGUGCGGCGGCCGCAGCCACGCAUGACGCGUCGCAGCCGUGUGGGUGGCGGAGGCACCGGCGCGCUGUAGCACGAUGGGCUGGCCACACGCGAGGCUGCUGCUGCGUCGAGUGGGCGGCGUUGCUGCUUGUACGCGCUGACUGGUGCACCCGUGCGUGCAUGUGCAGAGCGGCGUGAGCGCGCACAGGCGUGCAUAUGCCGCCACGCUCACACGGGAGUGGUGUGGCCUGCUGCGCUGGUCUCCCUCUGUUGGACGCAGGGCUGCGGGUAGGCGGUGCGGGCUUGCGGGGGCGCACGUGCGCGAGCGCUGGGUGGUGCGCGCCGCUGCUCUCCCGCUGCUCUCCGCCGAGCACCCCCUCGCCGACGAGCCGCUGCCGCUGCCUUGCACAUCCUUCUUUCUGUGUGCGAGGUGCAUGAUAAUGGUAUGCGGAUGCUGGUGGGGCUGCGCAUGGGCGCUCGCCUCUCUCCCACACGCGGGCUCGACCUAUCCGUGCUGUCAGCGCUCCUGCCCACCGCCCCCACGCGUGUGUGCGCGCGCUCUGGCGCUGCUGCCGCUGGCGCUGUUGUGUGUGUGCAGGGGCGCUCCCGCCCGCCGGCCAUGCUCUCUGUUUCGCUGGCCGCCCUCUCUACGCCGCUGGCGUGGGCGGAGCUCCGCGCUGCGUAUCGCUCGCCCCUCCCUGCCCCUCCCUGCCCCUCCCUGCCCCUCCCUGCCCCUCCCUGCCCCUCCCUGCCCCUCCUUCUCAUGUGCACUGCUCCCUCCCUCUCCCUCCCUCUACACUCCUCGCUGUCCCCUCGGCCGACCUCCACGGACACGCAG